rnacentral:rRNA from 1 species
GAUGAACGCUGGCGGCGUGCCUAAUACAUGCAAGUCGAGCGAACAGAUGAGGAGCUUGCUCCUCUGACGUUAGCGGCGGACGGGUGAGUAACACGUGGAUAACCUACCUAUAAGACUGGGAUAACUUCGGGAAACCGGAGCUAAUACCGGAUAAUAUAUUGAACCGCAUGGUUCAAUAGUGAAAGACGGUUUUGCUGUCACUUAUAGAUGGAUCCGCGCCGCAUUAGCUAGUUGGUAAGGUAACGGCUUACCAAGGCAACGAUGCGUAGCCGACCUGAGAGGGUGAUCGGCCACACUGGAACUGAGACACGGUCCAGACUCCUACGGGAGGCAGCAGUAGGGAAUCUUCCGCAAUGGGCGAAAGCUUGACGGAGCAACGCCGCGUGAGUGAUGAAGGUCUUCGGAUCGUAAAACUCUGUUAUUAGGGAAGAACAAAUGUGUAAGUAACUAUGCACGUCUUGACGGUACCUAAUCAGAAAGCCACGGCUAACCACGUG